UCAUCUAACAUGGAUUGUUUAUGGCUAGCACUGCUGAAUUUUCCCAUUUGGGAGAGAAAGAGGGAAAGUUACACCUCCAGCUCAAAUCCAAUUAGGGAUCUGAAACAGAGGAGGUGACAGAAGGGUGUUAAGGUGUUAUUAAGCCGUCUCUGAUUUUACCCCAUUCCAUCAGUGGGAGCAGAACUAGCAGCACCCUCUUGCUUGUUUUCAGGUCAACAGCUAUCUGACUAGUACUUUGAAUGUUCUUAACCAAAAUAAGAGCUCUAUAGCCUACCAUUCUUUGCCUGUUCUGUCCUAACUGCUUCACUGAGCUGGUGUUGGUAUGGAACACCAGCCAUGCACAUCAGAGUCUAAUUGUAUUUUCUUUUCUCUCCCUUCCCAUAUGCAUUGAUGAAGCUUCUUGAAGGGUAUGCACAACAAAGGAGAAAUCUUACACCAAGAAGCCAGCAACUGUUGGACAGCCCUGUACUGCGCAGUGAUGACGAAGAUGAAACAGCAGAUGAUGUGACUGACGUAGAGUCUGAAGUGGCUGACGUAGAACCUGAAGUGACUGACGUAGAACCUGAAGUGACUGAAGACUCUGCAGAAGGGGGAUCAUCGGACGAGGAAACUGCAAAUUCAGAGGAAUGGCAACGAGCUGUAAGGUGCCCGAUUUGCAUGGAUUUUUAUUCACGGAUUCUACGAAAACACCGACAGGUUGUGUCAACCCAGUGUGGCCACCUCUUCUGCAGUCGGUGCCUCCCUUUUGCCCUUCAGACUUCUUGGGCUUGCCCAACCUGCAGGACAGAACUCCCUCCCAGAGCCUAUCAUCGCAUUUUUUUCUGAAUACUUCUGUUUCUCAGGACAGACUCAGAUGGAUUUUGGGGGAUAGGUGGCAGAAAGACUUUUUUCUUCAUGUACAUAGUUCUUGUUGUAUACAGUUCCAUUUUUCUGGAGUUUAAUUAGAAAUAUAAAUUUAAAUUAAUUA